GCAUUAAUGGGGUAGUGGUAACCUGGGUCGUUGCCAUCAGAGCAAUACAAGCUCGACCCGCCGGGGGUUCGAUUCCCUCUUAAUGCA